AAGGGCACCACAAGAACGCGUGGAGCAUGUGGCUUAAUUUGACUCAACGCGGGAAAUCUUACCAGGUCCAGACAUAUUGAGGAUUGACAGGUGAUCACUAAUAUAUUUAUAUAUUAGUACAAAUAUGAUAGUCCUUUCAUGAUUAUAUGAUAGGUGGUGCAUGGCCGUUCUUAGUUCGUGGAGUGAUCUGUCUGCUUAAUUGCGUUUCAGUAAAAAAAAUAUAUUAUAUUUUAAUUUAUAUUUUUGACGUUCUGCCUUUUAUAGGAUUGUGAACUCAAAUAUAUUUAACUUAUAAUAUUAAUAAUUGAAUGCAACGAACGUGACUAUAACCCUUUAUUGCUUUAUAUUAUUUAAUUAUAAUAAAGCUUAAAAUUAAGGGAACCGCUGUCUAAUAUUUAGUUUUAAAACAGAGGAAGAUUAUGGCAAUAACAGGUCUGUGAUGCCCUCAGAUGUUCUGGGCUGCACACGUGCUACAAUAAUUACUAUAAUAAGUGUCUACUUAUAUAUAUAUAUUUAAUUAUUAUUUUAUAAUAAUUAAUUAUAUUUAACCUAUUUCGAAAGUGAAUGGGUAAUCAUUUGAAAAUCGUGAUUAUUUAUUUUAUACUACAUUUUAUAGUNAUAAAUUUAUUAAUAUGCUUGCAUUUUAAUUGUUUAUAACUGUAGUAUUAAUUAAUUUAAGGUGGGGAUAGUGAAUUGUUAAUUAUUUCACUUGGCCUUAACUAGGAAUGCCUUGUACUGUUCCUUGGUUCAACAUACCAACAGGAAUACGUCCCUGCCCUUUGUACACACCGCCCGUCA
rnacentral:rRNA from 1 species